UACGGAGGGUGCAAGCGUUAUCCGGAUUUACUGGGUUUAAAGGGUGCGUAGGCGGGCCAUUAAGUCAGUGGUGAAAGCUCCGAGCUUAACUCGGAAACUGCCAUUGGUACUAUUGGUCUUGAAUUCGGUCGAGGUUGGCGGAAUGUGUCGUGUAGCGGUGAAAUGCUUAGAUAUGACACAGAACACCGAUUGCGAAGGCAGCUAGCUAGACCGACAUUGACGCUGAGGCACGAAAGCGUGGGGAUCAAACAGG
rnacentral:rRNA from 1 species